rnacentral:pre_miRNA from 1 species
UCUCAUGAGUAAGCAAAAAAAGUGGUUUCUUGAGAUAGAACCUACUCCUGGUGAAGAUGUGUGAA